GAUGAAGAACGUAGCGAAAUGCGAUAAGUAAUGUGAAUUGCAGAAUUCAGUGAAUCAUCGAAUCUUUGAACGCACAUUGCGCCCGCUAGUAUUCUGGCGGGCAUGCCUGUCCGAGCGUCAUUUCAACCCUCAAGCCCCCGGGCUUGGUGUUGGGGAUCGGCGAGCCUCCGCGCCCGCCGUCCCCUAAAUCUAGUGGCGGUCUCGCUGUAGCUUCCUCUGCGUAGUAGCACACCUCGCACUGGGAAACAGCGCGGCCACGCCGUUAAACCCCCAACUUCUGAACGUUGGACCUCGGAUCAGGUAGGAAUACCCGCUGAACUUAAGCAUAUCAAUAAGCGGAGGA
rnacentral:misc_RNA from 1 species